rnacentral:rRNA from 1 species
GUCUACGAAUAUGCCGCGGUGAAUACACGGCAUUCCGUCUGAUCCGCAAAGUCAAGCACCAUUGGGCUGGGUUAGGACUUAGAUCAGAAACGUCGUAAGACCGCAUCAUUAGUGCCUU